UUCCUACGGGGGGCAGCAGUGGGGAAUAUUGGGCAAUGGGCGAAAGCCUGACCCAGCAACGCCGCGUGAAGGAAGAAGGCUUUCGGGUUGUAAACUUCUUUUGACAGGGAAGAGCAGAAGACGGUACCUGUCGAAUAAGCCACGGCUAACUACGUGCCAGCAGCCGCGGUAAUACGUAGGUGGCAAGCGUUGUCCGGAUUUACUGGGUGUAAAGGGCGUGUAGCCGGGUUGACAAGUCAGAUGUGAAAUCCGGGGGCUUAACCCCCGAACUGCAUUUGAAACUGUUGAUCUUGAGUAUCGGAGAG
rnacentral:rRNA from 1 species